UCCAGGUGGCUCAGUGGUAGAGAAUCUGCCUGCCAAGCAGGAGACCCAGGUUCAAUCCCUGGGUCAGGAA
rnacentral:tRNA from 1 species